GCCUGCUGUGCUUGUCCUGCUGUUUGCUGGGCAUUACAAGGAACCAAGACAACACGGGAUCUGGAGACAGAAAUUUCCUCCUCUUUUAGCUAGAGUGCUUCACCACUAUUACUUCUCUCCUGCAAACAGCUGAACCAUGGGACAGAAAUUGCUGAAGCCACCUAACACAGAGAUGUUACAGGAGCCUCAAACUGAUGUUGAACAGUAGGCAAAUUUGUUCUGUACUGUCUCACCCAGGACUGUCAGUUAAGAAGAAAUGUCAAGGGACAGGCUGUUAAAAAUAGUGUGAUCUGUAGUACCUACUGAAGGUAGGUAUAUGAACAUCUUUAGUAGAACUUGAACUUUUGCUCCAAACUUACAUCAAACUCCU
rnacentral:lncRNA from 1 species